UGGAGGACUGAGAAGAUGAGGCAGAUGUGUACCGUGCUGCCUUCCAUCGGUUAGCCCUCCAACAGUGAAGGGUGGCCAGGCAGGGGAUGGCCCUCUGCACACUCGGAGGGGCAGCACUGCACUGGCCUACAGUCA
ensembl:snoRNA Snora47 small nucleolar RNA, H/ACA box 47